rnacentral:rRNA from 1 species
GACGAAGGAUGCAAGCGUUAUCCGGAUUCAUUGGGUUUAAAGGGUGCGUAGGCGGCCAGAUAAGUCAGUGGUGAAAUCUCCUUGCUUAACAAGGAAACUGCCAUUGAUACUGUUUGGCUUGAGUAUAGUUGCUGUGGGCGGAAUAUGACAUGUAGUGGUGAAAUACAUAGAGAUGUCAUAGAACACCGAUUGCGAAGGCAGCUCACAAAACUAUAACUGACGCUGAGGCACGAAAGUGCGGGGAGCAAACAGG